rnacentral:rRNA from 1 species
UCGGCAAUGGGGGAAACCCUGACCGAGCGACGCCGCGUGCGGGAUGAAGGCCUUCGGGUUGUAAACCGCUGUCGUAGAGGAGGAAAUGCAGGGGGGUUCUCCCUUCUGUUUGACCUAUUCUAGGAGGAAGUACGGGCUAAGUUCGUGCCAGCAGCCGCGGUAAGACGAACCGUGCGAACGUUAUUCGGAAUCACUGGGCUUAAAGGGUGCGUAGGCGGGUGGACAAGUCGAGGGUGAAAGCCUCUAGCUUAACUAGAGGAGUGCCCUCGAUACUGUUUGUCUUGAGAGAGAUAGGGGCACACGGAACUUCCGGUGGAGCGGUGAAGUGCGUAGAUAUCGGAAGGAACGCCGGUGGCGAAAGCGGUGUGCUGGAUCUUUUCUGACGCUGAGGCACGAAAGCUAGGGUAGCGAACGGGAUUAGAUACCCCGGUAGUCCUAGCCCUAAACGAUGAGUACUAGAUUGUGGACUGACAUGGGUUCACAGUCGAAGCAAAAGUAUUAAGUACUCCGCCUGGGGAGUAUGGUCGCAAGGCUGAAACUCAAAGGA